CCUACGGGCGGCUGCAGUGAGGAAUAUUGCUCAAUGGGCGCGAGCCUGAACCAGCCAAGUAGCGUGAAGGAUGACUGCCCUCCGGGUUGUAAACUUCUUUUAUAAAGAAAUAAAGUUAGGCACGUGUGCCUUUUUGUAUGUACUUUAUGAAUAAGGAUCGGCUAACUCCGUGCCAGCAGCCGCGUUAAUACGGAGGAUCCGAGCGUUAUCCGGAUUUAUUGGGUUUAAAGGGAGCGUAGAGGGGUUGUUAAGUGAGUUGUGAAAGUUUGCGGCUCAACCGGAACAGUGCAAUUGAUACUGGCAGUCUUGAGUACAGUUGAGGUAGGUGGAAUUCGUGGUGUAGCGGUGAAAUGCUUAGAUAUCACGAAGAACUCCGAUUGCGAAGGCAGCUUACUAAGCUGCCACUGACAUUGAUGCUCGAAAGUGUGGGUAUCAAACAGGAUUAGAUACCCGUGUAGUC
rnacentral:rRNA from 1 species